AUAAGUAAGUUAAAUUAAAAUUAAAAACAUUGCUUUUUAAUAUUUUAUUUUAUCUUAUUUUUAUUCCAUUCUGCAUUUUCAUUAUCAUAUUAAUUAAUAUAAAGUAUUAUUUUUAUGAGAAAACAAUUUAUAUAUUAUAUUAACUUUAAAAACGUACGAUUAAUAGACCAGUGAUUCUUUUGUUUAAUUUUUUAAAAUAAUUUUUUGCUGUCAUGGACAUCUAAGAUUUAAUUUAAAAUUUAUUAAUUCGUUUAUUGGAAUAAUAAUUACAUGUAUAAGGAUUUCCACAAAAUCCUUAAUCUCAUAAAAAUUGGAGAAGCAUGAAAUAAAUUAAAUUUUUUCUUGACAAAAAAACAAUAAUAGAAAUAGGUUAACAACUGUGUAAUUUUUUUAAAAAACGAUUUGAGAAUUUGUCUUUGAUUGAACAAAUUUUAAAUUUAAUUCCAUUUUUAUUUUUUAUUUCAUAUUUUUAUAAAAGUGAAAAACAAGCGACACAAAAUAAGAAUACAUAACAUUUAGAAUUUCUAUAAAAUCUUAAUAAUAUUUUUGUAUACAUAUAUAUAACUACUUAUAUAUAUAUUUUUACAUUUUACAUUUUACAUUUUUUAUAUUUAUUUAUUAUAUUAUAUUUUUAUUACAUUUUCAAAAAAACGAUUUUUAAAUAAAUAAAUAAUGAAACUUUAUUAAAAGUAUUUUUUUUUAUAAGAUAAUAUUUAGAUAAUUUUUAUUUAAAAAUCUUAGAAAUUUCUAUGAAAAAUGAAAAAGCUUAUCGGAAAAUGCCAUCGAGGAUGAAUUUUUUAGAUCAUUUUGGCCAUAGAAUGAAAAGUAAAGUUUUAUUCGUGUCAAGAUAAUUAGAUUGGCUUCGAAAUAACUGAUGAAAUUAAAAUUAAAAAAACUGUUAAGCAGAAUUAUGGAAAAUCAUGAUUCUAGAUGCAAAGAUAUCAAAUACAGAAAAAUUCAAUUGUCAAUCAAUGUGCGAUAGUUGGAGAAAAUUCUUUUUGAUUUGAUUGAAGAAUUUUAAUGUUUUUUAAAUAGCAAAAAACUAUUAUGACUAAUUUUAUGUCAUAUCUUUAUCUUUGUAAUCAGUUUUUCUACAUUAAUAUAAAAUGUAAUCGUGUGUAAGAAUUUAGGUUAGACACGUUUUAAGAUUUUUCUUUCCUUUGUCAGAAUUAAUUUUUUUUUGUCAAAAAUUAAUAAGUAAAAAUCUUGUAUUAGAUUGUAUAUUUUUGUAUUUUUUGUUGAAAUUAGAUUUUGUUCUAUUUUUCUUUUAUAGUUUUGUGAAGUUCUGAUAUCAAAACUAUUAUAUCAAAUAGUGCUAGAAUCAUUGCUUCUUUCGUUACAGCAUCUAUGUUUCUUUUUCCUUGAUAUAAAGGAAUUCAAAUGAUAUUUAUAUUGCUGUUAUUUUCAUUGUUUAAUUCUGUAUAUGUAUAUGUCUCCUAUAUUUUUAUUGUGAUUUCAUAAUUGUUGAUUGAAUUUCUAUUAUAAUCAUGAAGUUUGAAUAUUUUUAAUAUUUUUAAAACUAUCAGUGUCAAUAUUUUUAAAAUUAUCAAUGCUGACAUAUUUCAAUCUAAUAUUAUCUCUGCAAUGAAUAUGGAUAUUGUUUUGUUAUGUUAUUGUCAAAGGUAAUAUUGUAUCAUAUUCUUAAGCUGAAUUAAAUGCGUCUGUAUAGAAAUGCUCAGAAUUGAUUAAUUAUUUUUAAUUAUUUUUUCAUUCUAGGAAUUUGAUUAUGUAUAUUGUCCUAUCUACUUGAUUUUUUGAUAAAUCAUCUAGGUAUGUUUUAAUCAACCAGAGAAUUAUUUUCUUUGAUUCGUAUUCAAUAAUUGUAAUUCAUUUAAUAAUAAUAAGGAGCUUUAAAAGGUAACAUAGAUUUUUUAGAAUAAAUUUCUUUGAAUUUAUUAGAGAAUAUUAUAUUAUUGAAAUUUGCAAAAAUGGAAAAUAUUUUUAAAAUGUAUUUGAAGGUUAAGUAUUUAUACCUGUAGCUAUUCUCAAUAUCGUAUUGAAUCAAUUAUUUUUAUAAUACUUUGCUAAGCUAUAAAUAGUUGAAUCAUAACUGAUUUUUUGUAUCCUAUAUAUUACAUGCAAUAAAAUUUUUUUUCAAUUAUUA